UACGUAGGGUGCAAGCGUUGUCCGGAAUUAUUGGGCGUAAAGAGCUCGUAGGCGGUGUGUCGCGUCGGCCGUGAAAACCUGCAGCUUAACUGUGGGCGUGCGGUCGAUACGGGCAUCACUGGAGUUCGGCAGGGGAGACUGGAAUUCCUGGUGUAGCGGUGAAAUGCGCAGAUAUCAGGAGGAACACCGGUGGCGAAGGCGGAUCUCUGGGCCGAUACUGACGCUGAGGAGCGAAAGCGUGGGGAGCGAACAGG
rnacentral:rRNA from 1 species